rnacentral:tRNA from 1 species
GGCGCCGUAGCCAAGUGGUAAGGCAGAGGUUUGCAAAACCUCCAUUCAGCGGUUCGAAUCCGCUCGGCGCCU